rnacentral:rRNA from 1 species
AUUGAACGCUGGCGGCAUGCCUUACACAUGCAAGUCGAACGGUAACAGGUCUUCGGAUGCUGACGAGUGGCGAACGGGUGAGUAAUACAUCGGAACGUGCCUAGUAGUGGGGGAUAACCACUCGAAAGAGUGGCUAAUACCGCAUGAGAUCUACGGAUGAAAGCAGGGGAUCGCAAGACCUUGUGCUACUAGAGCGGCCGAUGGCAGAUUAGGGAGUUGGUGGGAUAAAAGCUUACCAAGCCGACGAUCUGUAGCUGGUCUGAGAGGACGAUCAGCCACACUGGGACUGAGACACGGCCCAGACUCCUACGGGAGGCAGCAGUGGGGAAUUUUGGACAAUGGGCGAAAGCCUGAUCCAGCAAUGCCGCGUGCAGGAUGAAGGCCUUCGGGUUGUAAACUGCUUUUGUACGGAACGAAAAGCCCCGGGUUAAUACCCUGGGGUCAUGACGGUACCGUAAGAAUAAGCACCGGCUAACUACGUGCCAGCAGCCGCCGUAA